CGAUGCCCUAAAUUUGAUCUAAUCUUUAGAUUAUGUCGGUAGAGUUUCAAACUUAUCAUCUUUUUAUGGAUUGAUAAUCUCUACUAUUGGUAAGUAUAGUAUGAAGCUCUUAUUGAUGUCGAGUAGCCGCACAAAUAUCUGACCUCUAUGGAUGGUCCACACGAAGCCCUUUCGGACCGAUCAGCUCUCUGUGAGAGUGCUAGCUCACGUAGUCAGUUUCUGAUGUAGAUCUGACUUGAUCUCCUUCUUCAAUCAUCUUGAAUCUUUUUGAUGUUGAAGAUGGAUCAGAGAAGGAUGCUGGAUGGUGAAGAAAAUUUAGAUG
rnacentral:lncRNA from 1 species